UACGGAGGGUGCAAGCGUUAUCCGGAUUCACUGGGUUUAAAGGGUGCGUAGGAGGGCAGGUAAGUCAGUGGUGAAAUCUUCGAGCUUAACUCGGAAACUGCCGUUGAUACUAUCUGUCUUGAAUACCGUGGAGAUGAGCGGAAUAUGUCAUGUAGCGGUGAAAUGCUUAGAUAUGACAUAGAACACCAAUUGCGAAGGCAGCUCGUUACACGAAUAUUGACUCUGAGGCACGAAAGCGUGGAGAUCAAACAGG
rnacentral:rRNA from 1 species